rnacentral:rRNA from 1 species
GAUGAACGCUGGCGGCGUGCCUAAUACAUGCAAGUCGAGCGAACAGAUGAGGAGCUUGCUCCUCUGACGUUAGCGGCGGACGGGUGAGUAACACGUGGAUAACCUACCUAUAAGACUGGGAUAACUUCGGGAAACCGGAGCUAAUACCGGAUAAUAUAUUGAACCGCAUGGUUCAAUAGUGAAAGACGGCUUUGCUGUCACUUAUAGAUGGAUCCGCGCCGCAUUAGAUAGUUGGUAAGGUCACGGGUUACCAAGGCAACUAUGCGUAGCCGACGUGAGAGAGUGAUAGGCCACACUGGAAGUUGACCAGGGUCCAGACUCCUAAGGGACGCACCAGAAGGGAAUCGGCGGCAAUAGGCGAAAGCAUGACAGAGUAGCGGCACGUGAGUGAUGACAGUCUUCCGAUCGUAAAACUCUGCUAUUAGGGAAGAACAAAUGUGUAAGUAACUAUACACGUCUUGACGGUAACUAAUAAGAAAGCCACGGCUAACUACGUG